rnacentral:ribozyme from 11 species
AAGAAAAAGAAAAGGCUAGGAAAACGCCGGAAAACACAAAACUUUGUUUUUUUGGGGAAUUUCUAUCUUUUUUUUUCUCUUUUUUUUUUUU